UGCAAAUGUUACUGUUAGGCCAGAAGAUAUUGACCAUUCCUAAUUUCCCUGGAGAAGGCAGUGGUUUCUGGUCUGUCUGGAGGUAUAGUCCCUCUUGCACUUUUGGUGUCCAAACAGACUGGUUGUCAUUUGGGUUUUGAGGCCUCAUUGUUCAUUUUGAACUCGGAGAAUGCAAGUCCAGGGGUCCAUUGGUAUUCACUUUUGGAUAAGCCCCCAAACAACAGAAGGGGUUACAUUGCUUUCAGCUUGGUAGUUCCAUUCGAUGGUGCAAUCCAGUUAUGGUCAUACAAAUAAGGACCUUUCUGGAGACCCGAGAUUAAUUAUUGUGAGCAGGAUCAUCGAGAAGGCUCACUGAUUUGUUCAUUAUUGCACCCACAUAAAUGUCUCACCAAAGUGUUUGUGACUGAAUCUCACCCAGAGUGACUGAAGAAGCAGCCAGAGUUCCUGAACUUAGGGUACAAUAACAUACAAAUAAAGGGAAAACAAACACAAUUUUGAAAACUUUCCUCUGAAAGCAGAAGAGUAGGUUGGUUUUAUUUUGUAAAAACAAACAACACUGUUGCUUUGAAAGUUUUGUAUAACUUUAACAGUUCUAGCAUAUUUCUGAAAUUAAAAAAAAGUUUUGCUGAUGUCCCAGAUUACUGUUGCAUUCAUAUAUAAAUAAAGUCUUACUGUUGUUUUGCAGUUUGUAAAUUCCUCAUUGUCACAUUUGUAGUCAGUUUUUCACUGUCACAUAUUACACAUGAUGUGACAUAUUUGAUCAUUUUCAAUUAGUUAA